rnacentral:rRNA from 1 species
AGUGAACGCUGGCGGUAGGCCUAACACAUGCAAGUCGAACGGCAGCACAGUAAGAGCUUGCUCGUACGGGUGGCGAGUGGCGGACGGGUGAGGAAUACAUCGGAAUCUACUUUUUCGUGGGGGAUAACGUAGGGAAACUUACGCGAAUACCGCAUACGACCUACGGGUGAAAGCAGGGGAUCUUCGGACCUUGCGCGAUUGAAUGAUCCGAUGUCGGAGUAGCUAGUUGGCGGGGUAAAGGCCCACCAAGGCGACGAUCCGUAGCUGGUCUGAGAGGAUGACCAGCGACAGUGGAACUGAGACACGGUCCAGACUCCUACGGGAGGACGCAGUGGGGAAUAUUGGAAAAUGGGCGCAAGCAUGAUCCAGCAAUACCGCGUGGGUGAAGAAGGCCUUCGGGUUGUAAAGCAGUUUUGUUGGGAAAGAAAAGCAGCAGGUUAAUACCCCGAUGUUCUGACGGUACCCAAAGAAUAAGCACCGGCUAACUUCGCG